GCCUGGGUGGCUCAGUUGGUUAAGCAUCUGACUUCGGCUCAGGUCAUGAUCUGGGUUUGUGAGUUCAAGCCCCACGUCGGGCC
rnacentral:tRNA from 1 species